rfam:Tolumonas auensis DSM 9187, complete genome.
AGGCUUGCCCCAUGCUUGCUGACGUUGUCAGCGACAUGCCAGGCAACCAUCGGUCUUCGAGGUUGCGGCGCGGCACCCGCCGCGUGACCGAGCCAGUUCGCAACGCAUCCCUCCGUGCGAACGACCAUCGGCUUGCCGGUGGUGGAUGC